rnacentral:rRNA from 1 species
UACGUAGGUGGCAAGCGUUGUCCGGAUUUAUUGGCGUAAAGAGCUCGUAGGCGGCUUGUUGCGUCGACUGUGAAAAACCCGCCGGCUUAACUGCGGGCUUGCAGUUGAUACGGGCAGGCUAGAGUGUGGUAGGGGGAGAUCGGAAUUCCUGGUGUAGCGGUGAAAUGCGCAGAUAUCAGGAGGAACACCGGUGGCGAAGGCGGAUCUCUGGGCCAUUACUGACGCUGAGGAGCGAAAGCGUGGGGAGCGAACAGG